rnacentral:rRNA from 1 species
UACGUAGGGUGCAAGCGUUGUCCGGAAUUAUUGGGCGUAAAGAGCUCGUAGGCGGUCUGUCGCGUCGGAUGUGAAAAUCCAGGGCUCAACCCUGGACCUGCAUUCGAUACGGGCAGACUAGAGUUCGGCAGGGGAGACUGGAAUUCCUGGUGUAGCGGUGAAAUGCGCAGAUAUCAGGAGGAACACCGGUGGCGAAGGCGGCAUCCUGGACCAACACUGACGCUGAUGAGCGAAAGCCAGGGGAGCAAACGGG